rnacentral:rRNA from 1 species
ACUUUAAUUGAUUUCUUCGGAAUGAAGUUUUUGUGACUGAGUGGCGGACGGGUGAGUAACGCGUGGGUAACCUGCCUCAUACAGGGGGAUAACAGUUGGAAACGACUGCUAAUACCGCAUAAGCGCACAGUUCCGCAUGGAACAGUGUGAAAAACUCCGGUGGUGUGAGAUGGACCCGCGUCUGAUUAGCCAGUUGGCGGGGUAACGGCCCACCAAAGCGACGAUCAGUAGCCGGCCUGAGAGGGUGAACGGCCACAUUGGGACUGAGACACGGCCCAAACUCC